UCAGAAUGGAUCUCUGCUGCACUUCUUGGUGAUACAGAAAGCUCAACACAAUCAUAAUCAGUGGCUUUGUACACAUUUUCGGAAGCAAUUCUCUUAAUUCAAUCAUCAAAAUUUGUUGAGUUUCUUUUUUCUUUUAUUUUGUAUUAUUACCAUUUUCUUUUUCUCUUUUGGCUUCAAAUAUUGGUGGCGUUGGGUGGUGGGUUUGUUUCUCUUUGUUGAUGAUCAUGAAUCAUGAUGAUACCAAAUGUAAUUGCAAACAGCAGGGUCCAAAAUUUGUAUGACCUUGUGAUUUAUUCUGUAUCUUACUGAUGUUUGCUUAAUUAUCUUUUCAUUUUUGUUCUUUUUUGAGUGAUCUCCAUAAUUAAUCAGGAACCAAAAUAUCGAGUUUGUUAAUC
rnacentral:lncRNA from 1 species